rnacentral:rRNA from 1 species
CGCGAAUCGCCCUUGGGUGCACCAGGCGCGAAAACUUUACACUGCGGGAAACCGCGAUAAGGGGACCCCGAGUGCCAGCACCUAGUGCUGGCUGUCCAGCUGUCCAAAUAACAGUUGUUAGCAAGGGCCGGGCAAGACCGGUGCCAGCCGCCGCGGUAACACCGGCGGCCCGAGUGGUAGCCGUUAUUAUUGGGUUUAAAGGGUCCGUAGCCGGCCUAUUAAGUCUCUUGGGAAAUCUGGCGACUUAAUCGUCAGGCGUCCAAGAGAUACUGGUAGGCUUGGGACCGGGAGAGGUGGGAGGUACUCCAGGGGUAGGGGUGAAAUCUCGUAAUCCUUGGGGGACCACCGAUGGCGAAGGCAUCCCACCAGAACGGGUCCGACGGUGAGGGACGAAAGCUGGGGGCACGAACCGGAUUAGAUACCCGGGUAGUCCCAGCUGUAAACGAUGCUCGCUAGGUGUCAGGUGCGGUGCGACCGCAUCUGGUGCCGCAGUGAAAACUUGAAGCGAGUCACCUGGGAAGUACGGUCGCAAGGCUGAAACUUAAAGGAAUUGGCGGGGGAGCAC